rnacentral:rRNA from 1 species
UACGUAGGGGGCGAGCGUUGUCCGGAUUUAUUGGGCGUAAAGAGCUCGUAGGCGGUUCGAUAAGUCGGAUGUGAAAUCUCCACGCUCAACGUGGAGGGGCCAUUCGAUACUGUCGUGACUCGAGUCCGGUAGGGGAGUGUGGAAUUCCCGGUGUAGCGGUGAAAUGCGCAGAGAUCGGGAGGAACACCGGUGGCGAAGGCGGCAUCCUGGACCGGCAUUGACGCUGAGGCGCGAAAGCCAGGGGAGCAAACGGG